GCCCCGGUGGCCGAUUCGAUCAGGCGGCUGUUUCGAUCAGGCGGCGAGUUCGAGUCGAGCGGGGUGGCCGGCGCGGGUCCGGUCCAGCGCG
rnacentral:tRNA from 1 species